rnacentral:lncRNA from 1 species
GCCUGCUCUAUGUCUAUUAAUCCAUCCUUCCUUUCAAUCUUUCUGCAUGGUCCUCUUCUUACCUCUUCUUACCUGCUAUGAAAUUGCCAGAUGACAAUGGCUGGACGAAUCAUUCCUGACUGAUUUUUUUUUUUUUCUUCUUAUAAAGUUAACCUCAUUUCCCUGUUACUUGUAUGUGUAGCAAGUCUCUAAUUAGCUGUUUCCUAUUCAGACAUCCCACGUGUCUCUACUUGAUUUCAAUUUCAGUGAGUAAAGCAUCUUGCAAUAAAUCAGGAAAGAUCUGUGAAGAGGAAAUUUGUUUUCUAGUGGGUAUGUUGUCAUUGGCAGAUCACAAACUAAGUCCUGCAAGCGAUAGAGACAGCCUUUGGAAAGUUCUGGGAACCAGAGGCUUGCAAAAAAAAAAGUUUUGGUGACAUGAGAACUCAGCAAGUCAGAGUCUGAGAACUGAGACCAGGCGCCUGAGAAAGAAACAUCGAUGUCUGGAAGGAAGCAGGGCCUCAGGAAGGAUACAGUGAGUCUGGGACUUGCAAAGUGCAUUGUGUCUUAGAACUGCUGGUGAGAUAUUUCAUUGCUUUAGAACUUUGUUUCAGUUUUGUCUACAGAAAGGAAGAUCAUACUUUGUUUGCUUUAGUUCUCACACAUCAGGCUUGAUAUUCCAUGUGAGCUUUUUUGGAGUUAAGACCUGAAGAUGCCAGUGCAUCCCUGGUGCUGGGGACCUUAAAGACUCAGACGCUUAAAAGUGAAUGGGUCUACUUUGAAACAACCCUACUUAAUGAUAAUUUCAGUAGUGAAUCACAUAGAAAAAGGUGUUUACAUCCUCUGGAUUGCCUUGCUUUUGGGUAUGUUUCCCAGAGGUGCUUGCACAUUAAAUACUCUCCUUCUGUUACAUAAAUCACCUUUUCCUACAACUCCACAAGCACUGCAGGUUCACACAUAAAACAGUGCUUCUGGAGCCCACUGCUGUAAGAUUGCAUAAUCAUUCAUGCAGCUUAUUCAUCAGAGAGAGGAGAAUGAGGCUACUUUGCUGCUGUUGUGUGUAGAAUAUGCAGAAAAGCAAUGGUUAAAUAACAGCAGUAGCAGCCAAUGAAGCACCUGGAUUUGGCUAGCUACACAAAUGGACAAAAAGGAGGAUUUUCUUCCUACUUCUUCAUUAACAUAAGUGAUUAUGUGUUGUCUUUGCUGAUCACUACAUACAGAUUAUAGAUAAAUCAGGGCAGAAAACUGUGAGAAGAAGGUAAGAGACUGUGUGAAACAGAUGGAGAAAUACAUUGGAAGGUAGCUUUGGGACGAUGAGAAAGAGGAAAGGGAAAGAGUGAGAUCAUUGCCCUGGAGAUUAAAGAGCAAUUCAAGACCUCUUCCUAUCAGUGAGGAUUAGGAUGGCAGGGGAAUGCUCUUAUAGGUUGCUUAUACGUUGCUAUUUAUUUGUCUGGAUUUUUGUUUGUUUAUUUGUUUGUUUGAAUAUAUAAUAGUCAAUAAUCUUUUGUAGAGAAUAGGCAAUAAACAUCUAUGGCUUUAAAAACCA